AGAGUUUGAUCAUGGCUCAGAUUGAACGCUGGCGGCAUGCCUAACACAUGCAAGUCGCACGGGGGUAGCAAUACUCUAGUGGCGGACGGGUGAGUAACGCGUAGGAAUCUGCCCUGCAGAGGGGGACAACCUGGGGAAACCCAGGCUAAUACCGCAUACGCUCGCAGGAGGAAAGCGGGGGAUCUUCGGACCUCGCACUGUGGGAUGAGCCUACGUCCGAUUAGCUAGUUGGUGGGGUAAAGGCCUACCAAGGCGAUGAUCGGUAGCUGGUCUGAGAGGACGACCAGCCACACUGGGACUGAGACACGGCCCAGACUCCUACGGGAGGCAGCAGUGGGGAAUAUUGGACAAUGGGCGCAAGCCUGAUCCAGCAAUGCCGCGUGGGUGAAGACGGUCUGCGGAUUGUAAAGCCCUUUAGGCGGGGAGGAACGUCGUCGUGCGAACAGUGCGGCGAUCUGACGUUACCCGCAGAAUAAGCACCGGCUAACUCCGUGCCAGCAGCCGCGGUAAUACGGAGGGUGCGAGCGUUAAUCGGAAUUACUGGGCGUAAAGCGUGCGUAGGCGGCUAUUCAAGUCAGAGGUGAAAGCCUGGAGCUCAACUCCAGAACUGCCUUUGAAACUAGAUAGCUAGAAUCUUGGAGAGGUGAGUGGAAUUCCGAGUGUAGAGGUGAAAUUCGUAGAUAUUCGGAAGAACACCAGUGGCGAAGGCGACUCACUGGACAAGUAUUGACGCUGAGGUACGAAAGCGUGGGGAGCAAACAGGAUUAGAUACCCCGGUAGU
rnacentral:rRNA from 1 species